rnacentral:rRNA from 1 species
UAGCGUUGGGAAACCGGCAGUAACACUGGAUAAUAUCUUUGGAUCAAAUGGUGUGAUUCCGCCUGUGGAUCGGACCGCGUACUAUUAGCUUGUUGGUGGGGUAAUGGCCUACCAAGGCUGCGAUGGUUACCGGGUGUGAGAGCAUGGCCCGGCUCACUGGGACUGACACACUGCCCAGACACCUACGGGUGGCUGCAGUCGAGAAUCUUCGGCAAUGGACGAAAGUCUGACCGAGCGACGCCGCGUGCGGGAUGAAGGCCUUCGGGUUGUAAACCCCUGUCAGUUGGGAGGAAAGGCCUGUGAAGAGCAGGCCCUGACCGAUCUUCAAAGGAAGGACGGGCUAAGUUCGUGCCAGCAGCCUCCGUAAGACGAACCGGCCAAACGUUAUUCGGUAUCACUGGGGCUUAAAGCGUGCCUAGGCGGCCUGGCAGGUGAGAUGUGAAAGCCCACGGCUCAACCGUGGAAUUGCGUUUCAAACCGUCGGGCUUGAGGAAGACGGGGGUGUCAGGAACUUAUGGGUGGAGCGGUAAAUGCGUUGAUAUCAUAGGGAACACCGGUGGCGAAGGCCGACACUGCGUCUUUACUGACGCUGAGGCACGAAGCUAGGGUAGCGAACUGGAUUACAUACCCCGGUAGUCCUAACCCGAAACCAUGAACACUGGGUUGACGUGCACUUCCACAUCCUCUCGGCCGCAGCAAAAGCGUUAACUGUUUCGGCUGGGACUAUGGUCCCAUCGCUUGAAACUCAUG